rnacentral:rRNA from 1 species
AAUCAACGCUGGCGGCGUGCCUCAGACAUGCAAGUCGAACGCGAAAGGCUCCUUCGGGGGCCGAGUAGAGUGGCGCACGGGUGAGUAACACGUAGGUAAUUUGCCUUUGGGUGGGGAAUAACUCAGGGAAACUUGAGCUAAUACCGCAUAAUGCAGCGGCUCGACAUCGAGACAGUUGUUAAAGCGGGGGAUCGCAAGACCUCGCGCCUGAAGAGAAGCCUGCGGCAGAUUAGCUAGUUGGUAGGGUAAUGGCCUACCAAGGCGACGAUCUGUAACCGGCCUGAGAGGGCGGUCGGUCACACUGACACUGACAUACGGGUCAGACUCCUACGGGAGGCAGCAGUCGGGAAUUUUGGGCAAUGGGCGCAAGCCUCGACCCAGCAA